rnacentral:lncRNA from 1 species
GAGGCUCAGCCGCUCGCGGUGGAGAAAGCAGGCCGCGGAGGAGGCGGGCGCCCAGGCCUGCCCGGACAGGAAGUGGGCCCAGCUUUCCCACUCCUCGCUCCGCUCCUUCCUCCGCGGGAAGGGCAGGCCCCGGAGGCAGCGAGCGCCCCGGGGGUGGCCGGGCAGCCGGAUGCUCCCGGGGUUGCGGGCUGUGGCCCCGGGGGCUGAGGGCGGCGCGGGUGCGGCGGAAGCAGGGAAGCCGCGAACCGGCCUUCUGGCUGGCCACAGCGCCCUGCACGGACGAUCAGUGAAUGGAGAUUACUCAAGUAUUUAUCGAGAACUUGCAGUGGGCUAGGCACAGUUCAGGUAGAUCAACAAACCGAAAGACCCUGCCCUAGGGGAGCUUUCGCUCCAAUGCGGGGAGAGGGUGGAUGAUUGCAGUUUUGCCCAGUAAUUUUUGGGACCCUCAUGCCACCAUUAAUUAGCUACACACAUUUCACCGAAAGUCUACCUUACAUAUUAAUCAGAAGAAGUGGAAGAAUAAACACAGAAGAAGCAAAAAAGGAAGGAACUUUCUCACUGAAAGUUUCUAUUUAAUAUUAAGUCUUAAAAGUACUCCUGGAAGGACAAAAGGUGUUCUUAAUAAAUUAUAUUCGCAAAUAUUGGAUUUAAUCCUACCAGUAAUGAAGCAGUCAGUUACUUUCUAGAUGUGCAGAAAUACGUAAUGAACAAAAAAAACUAAUUCCUAUUCCAUUUUUUAUUAGGUCCACAGUUAUUUCACUUCUAAAUAAAUAUGGUUUUUUAAAAGUGGCACGCGGUGGAAUGUAAUUGAGACAGGAUGGAGUUCCUAGAGAAAUUUUACUUCCUCAAUCUGCACUCCACCUUACUUAAAAUACAGUCUUGGGUCUGUAAUUCCCUUAUCUGACUCUCAAGGAAAUGACAAAGUAAUGCCUAGAUUGGACUAAACCUCAUUUAACUUCAAGGCUGACCUUUCUCAAAGUUGAACCUUCGUCUUGUGAGGAACAGAAAGAUCAAGAACUCUGAAGCACCUCGACUUUCCACCUGUGAAGAUGUGUUCAAAUUUGCAACGUGCGGCCACACCUAUGAGGUCACUCCCUCUGGAGGAAACCAGCUGCCACUUUGUGAGGAUACUCAUAGUCCUGUGGAGGCAUAUCCUCCAUAUGGCUGAGACCUCCUGCGAACAACCAUCACUGACUUGCCAGACAUGAGUGUGCCACCUUGGAAGCAGAUUUUCCAGCCCCAGUUAAGCCUUCAGAUGACAUCAGCCCCUGCUAAUCUCUUGACUACAACCUCAUGAGAGACCCUGAGCCAGAACUAGCCAGGCUUACCCCUCAUGGUUACAAAGUGGCUGCAACAGCUCCAGGUGUUCUAUCCUUUAACACAGAAUAACUCAAACAACAAGACCCAAUAUUCAGACAAGAAGGAAAGGGACUUUUGGAGAGUGAAGAAAACUUUCCUAGAAACCUCAAACUUCUCCCCAUGCCUUAUUGGCCAGAUUGUAUCCCAUGCCCAUUUCUAAACCAAUCAUUGGCAAAGUGAGUGGAAUUGACGUGAUUAGAUUAACUUUACCAAGAAUGCAUCCUCAGAGAGGCUGAGAAAAAGUCCAGCCUCCUUUGAAGAGCCUGGCUACCUUUCACCUGAACAAAACAAGAAUUCUGAUGAAAAAUGGAGAAUGUAUGUGGAGCAGGCACCCGGAGUGUCUAUGCCAGGAUUUUUUUUCAGUGCGUUUCACCGGUUAUAUUUUUGUCUCUUUACCUUACAAGAUAUGUGGCACGUUUGCCUAAAACAAGCCUUGCUUUCUGAUUUCUGUGCACUAGGCACUUAAACCUUGCAAAUGUCGCUUACCUAACAGUCACUGUCAAGGAGUACCUGGCUAAAGAAUCUCCAGCUAGACAAAGUAGAAGUGUCUGUGCUCUGGCAGUUGAAUAUAUUGUAUCAGGCUCAACAGCACCUUUCACCAAAGGAUGAGACUUCACAACCAUUAGAUCUUCUUUUAUUUUGUUUUUAUUAAAAAAAAAAAUUUUAACACACCAUUGCUAACUUGAAGCCAUUAGAUCUUCUUACCCCCAAUACCACAAAAGUUUAGUGGAAUCAGGGGUAUACCAAGGCAGGUGGAGUAGGGGAGCUGGGAGUGGUCAGCCCCCAGGGCAGGCAAUGAGGGAUUGUGAAUCUGUGAAGAAUUUUAAAGCAAUGAUACAGCUCUAAAUGCAAUGUACUAUCCUGGACUUAGCCCUGGAAAAGAAAAAAGAUAUUAGUGGAAAAACUGGUAAAAUUCAAAUAAUGUCUGUAGUUUGGUUAAUAGUAUUAUACCAAUGUUAAUUUCUGUGUUUUGAUAAAUGUACCAUGGUUAUGUAAGCUGGAUGAAAGAUAUGUGGGAAAUCUCUCUACUAUUUCUGCAACUCUCCUGUAAACCUAAAAAUGUUUCAAAAUAAAAGAUUUAAUGCU